rnacentral:rRNA from 1 species
GGCUAACCUGCCCUUGGGACAGGGAUAACCCCGGGAAACUGGGGCUAAUCCCUGAUAGGUGAGGGCUCCUGGAAUGGGCCCUUGCCGAAAGGGCGCCUGGACCAUGCCUCUAGGCGCCGCCCAAGGAUGGGGCCGCGGCCGAUCAGGUAGUUGGUGAGGUAACGGCUCACCAAGCCUAUAACCGGUACGGGCCGUGGGAGCGGGAGCCCGGAGAUGGGCACUGAGACAAGGGCCCAGGCCCUACGGGGCGCAGCAGUCGCGAAACCUCCGCAAUGCGCGAAAGCGCGACGGGGCCAUCCCGAGUGCCGCCCGCUGAGGGCGGCUUUUCCCCGGUGUAGACAGCCGGGGGAAUAAGGGGAGGGCAAGCCGGGUGUCAGCCGCCGCGGUAAUACCCGCUCCCCGAGUGGUGGGGACGCUUAUUGGGCCUAAAGCAUCCGUAGCCGGCCAGGCAAGUCCCCUGUUAAAUCCAGCGAUUCAAUCGCUGGCCUGCGGGGGAUACUGCCUGGCUAGGGGGCGGGAGAGGCCGGCGGUAUUCCCGGGGUAGGGGUGAAAUCCUAUAAUCCCGGGAGGACCACCAGUGGCGAAGGCUGCCGGCUAGAACGCGCCCGACGGUGAGGGAUGAAAGCUGGGGGAGCGAACCGGAUUAGAUACCCGGGUAGUCCCAGCUGUAAACGAUGCGGGCUAGGUGUUGGCACGGCUACGAGCCGUGUCAGUGCCGCAGGGAAGCCGUUAAGCCCGCCGCCUGGGGAGUACGGCCGCAAGGCUGAAACU